GAUGAACGCUGGCGGCGUGCUUAACACAUGCAAGUCGAGCGAAGCACUUAUGAAAGAUUCUUCGGAUGAUUUCAUUUGCGACUGAGCGGCGGACGGGUGAGUAACGCGUGGGUAACCUGCCUCAUACAGGGGGAUAACAGUUGGAAACGACUGCUAAUACCGCAUAAGCGCACAGUGUCGCAUGACACAGUGUGAAAAGCUCCGGUGGUAUGAGAUGGACCCGCGUCUGAUUAGCUGGUUGGUGGGGUAACGGCCUACCAAGGCGACGAUCAGUAGCCGACCUGAGAGGGUGAUCGGCCACAUUGGGACUGAGACACGGCCCAAACUCCUACGGGAGGCAGCAGUGGGGAAUAUUGCACAAUGGGGGAAACCCUGAUGCAGCAACGCCGCGUGAGUGAAGAAGUAUUUCGGUAUGUAAAGCUCUAUCAGCAGGGAAGAAAAUGACGGUACCUGACUAAGAAGCCCCGGCUAACUACGUGCCAGCAGCCGCGGUAAUACGUAGGGGGCAAGCGUUAUCCGGAUUUACUGGGUGUAAAGGGAGCGUAGACGGCGAGACAAGUCUGAAGUGAAAGCCCGGGGCUCAACCCCGGGACUGCUUUGGAAACUGCCUUGCUAGAGUGCUGGAGAGGUAAGUGGAAUUCCUAGUGUAGCGGUGAAAUGCGUAGAUAUUAGGAGGAACACCAGUGGCGAAGGCGGCUUACUGGACAGUAACUGACGUUGAGGCUCGAAAGCGUGGGGAGCAAACAGGAUUAGGUACCCUGGUAGUCCACGCAGUAAACGAUGAUCACUAGCUGUUUGCGAUACACUGUAAGCGGCACAGCGAAAGCGUUAAGUGAUCCACCUGGGGAGUACGCCGGCAACGGUGAAACUCAAAGGAAUUGACGGGGGCCCGCACAAGCGGAGGAACAUGUGGUUUAAUUCGAUGAUACGCGAGGAACCUUACCCGGGUUUGAACGCAUUCGGACCGAGGUGGAAACACCUUUUCUAGCAAUAGCCGUUUGCGAGGUGCUGCAUGGUUGUCGUCAGCUCGUGCCGUGAGGUGUCGGCUUAAGUGCCAUAACGAGCGCAACCCUUAUCUUUAGUUACUAACAGGUUAUGCUGAGGACUCUAGAGAGACUGCCGUCGUAAGAUGUGAGGAAGGUGGGGAUGACGUCAAAUCAGCACGGCCCUUACGUCCGGGGCUACACACGUGUUACAAUGGGGGGUACAGAAGGCCGCUACCUGGUGACAGGAUGCUAAUCCCAAAAACCUCUCUCAGUUCGGAUCGAAGUCUGCAACCCGACUUCGUGAAGCUGGAUUCGCUAGUAAUCGCGCAUCAGCCAUGGCGCGGUGAAUACGUUCCCGGGCCU
rnacentral:rRNA from 1 species